AUAAGAGGUCCAGCCUGCCCAGUGACCCUGUUCAACGGCCGCGGUAUCCUAACCGUGCGAAGGUAGCGUAAUCACUUGCUCUUUAAAUAAGGGCUAGUAUGAAUGGCACCACGAAGGUUAUACUGUCUCCUUUUUCUAAUCAGUGAAACUAAUUUUCCCGUGAAGAAGCGGGAAUUUAUUUAUAAGACGAGAAGACCCUAUGGAGCUUUAAACAUUUAUAACAAUUGCUAAUUAAACUUUAAAAUUUCAGAAUAAUUACAAUUAUCCUAGCACUAUGAUUAUGAGUUUUAGGUUGGGGUGACCGCGGAGCAAAAAUAAACCUCCUCAUUGAAAGAAUUACACUUCUAAGCCAAAAGUUACAACUUCAUGCAUCAACAAAUUGACAUUAAUUGACCCAAUAUUUUGAUCAACGAACCAAGUUACCCUAGGGAUAACAGCGCAAUCCACUUCAAGAGCUCAUAUCGACAAGUGGGUUUACGACCUCGAUGUUGGAUCAGGAUAUCCCAGUGGUGCAGCCGCUACUAAAGGUUCGUUUGUUCAACGAUUAAAACCCU
rnacentral:rRNA from 1 species